ACCUAAUAGAUACCCCGGUAGUCCACGCCCUAAACGAUGCGAACUGGAUGUUGGGUACAUUACGGUACUCAGUGUCGAAAGCUAAACGCGUUAAGUUCGCCGCCUGGGGAGUACGGUCGCAAGACUGAAACUCAAAGGAAUUGACGGGGGCCCGCACAAGCGGUGGAGUAUGUGGUUUAAUUCGAUGCAACGCGAAGAACCUUACCUGGCCUUGACAUCUGUCGAAUCCUGCAGAGAUGCGGGAGUGCCGCAAGGAACGACAAGACAGGUGCUGCAUGGCUGUCGUCAGCUCGUGUCGUGAGAUGUUGGGUUAAGUCCCGCAACGAGCGCAACCCUUGUCCCUAGUUGCCAGCACAUCAUGGUGGGAACUCUAGGGAGACUGCCGGUCGAA
rnacentral:rRNA from 1 species